AAGUGCGAAUGCUGACAUGAGUAACGACAAUGGGUGUGAAAAACACCCACGCCGAAAGACCAAGGGUUCCUGCGCAACGUUAAUCGACGCAGGGUUAGUCGGUUCCUAAGGAAUCUCCGAACAAGCCUUCAGUUAUGCGAGAAUCCCCGCAACACCUGAUCCGAGCCGCCCAUGAGCCAGAUGAGCUUUUCCGACUUUGAGUACGCCGGCAAGCGCAAGC
rnacentral:rRNA from 1 species